rnacentral:rRNA from 1 species
GAUGAACGCUAGCGGCAGGCCUAAUACAUGCAAGUCGAGGGGUAAGGGAGAGCUUGCUUUCCCUGAGACCGGCGCACGGGUGCGUAACGCGUAUGCAACCUACCCUUUUCCGGGGGAUAGCCCGAAGAAAUUAGGAUUAAUACCGCAUAAGAUAUGAUACGGCCUCGUGAUGUGGUCAAACAUUCAUGGGAGAAGGAUGGGCAUGCGUGCCAUUAGCUUGUUGGCGGGGUAACGGCCCACCAAGGCGACGAUGGCUAGGGGAUCUGAGAGGAUGGCCCCCCACACUGGUACUGAGACACGGACCAGACUCCUACGGGAGGCAGCAGUAAGGAAUAUUGGUCAAUGGAGGCAACUCUGAACCAGCCAUGCCGCGUGCAGGAAGACGGCCCUCUGGGUUGUAAACUGCUUUUAUACGGGAAUAAACCUUUCUUCGUGAAGGAAGCUGAAUGUACCGUAGGAAUAAGGAUCGGCUAACUCCGUGCCAGCAGCCGCAGUAA